GGGAGGAGGCGCGUCAGCCAGGGGUGGAGGAAGCAGAAAAGGCUCUCUCACCUCUAACGCCGCAGUGGAUUAGAGCAUCUGAGAAGCUCUGGAAAAAACCUCUCAGGAAAACAACGACUUCAGCAGGACCCACUAGCCAAGGAAAGGGGAUAAAAUAAAUAGCAAAGGGAAGGAAAAACACGCACCUCUGGGAUGCUGCAGGUCCUGUUGCAGCCGCCGCCAUCCCUCGAAGCCACCGUUGCUUCUGCCAGAGCUGCUACUAGCGCGCUUAUCAGCUCCGCCACCGCCCAAGGGGGAAACUUCUGCAGAAACCCCAACCGAGCUUCCGUCGUAAGUAGCCAACGAGCAGCCACGCAGCGUGCUGCUAGCGGGGCGGGAGGCUACGCGCGGGCGCGUGGCCUGCUGGGGCAGUGGAGGACCGAGUCUUCCCAGCCCGCACCCUGGCCUGGGACCCGCGCUCCCAGUCCCGGGACCCGCGCUCCCAGUCCCCGCCCCUAGCAGCCAUGGUUAUGGAGGCCCGGGCCAACACGUUCUCCUUCUCUUCCACCGCGCCCACUGCUGCGGUCACUCGGACCAAGCCUCCAGGAGUAGUAGCUCAGAAGCACUUUUGUAGCAUACCGUUACCCCUCAGGAGCUUAGCGGUUAAGGGCGUUUGCAUGUCUUUUAGUAACACAAGCUCCAGGCCGGGCGCCGUGGCUCACGCCUGUAAUCCCAGCACUUUGGGAGUCCGAGACGGGUGGAUCACGAAGUCAGGAGUUCAAGACCAGCCUCGCCAAGAUGCUGAAACCCCGUCUACGAAAAAUACAAAAAUUAGCCGGGCGUGAUGGUGGGCGCCUGUAAUCCCAGCUACUGGGGAGGCUGAGGCAGGAGAAUCGCUUGAACCUGGGAGGCAGAGGUUGCAGUGAGCCGAGAUCGCGCCACUGCACCACAGCCUGGGCGACAGAGCAAGACUCCUUAAUAAAUAAAUAAAUAAAUAAAAAAUAAAUAAAAUAAGCUACUUCGA
rnacentral:lncRNA from 1 species